CUCAAAACUGAUAGAAGUCGCAUUUAAUGUGGAAUAUGAACGAGCACACGAAAAAAUCAGAUUUCACUAAAAAAUCCGAAUUAUGCAUUAAGACCUGCUGUCUGAACGUAGCCUUAGAGUUCUUCAGUUCUAUUUGCUGGUGAGGUAGUGUAGACUUUUAAACCUGUAGGGGGAGGGGUCUGUGGUGGUUGUUCUUCCAUAUCUUAAAAGACCCAGUGGUACUUUUAUGGCAGUUACCAAAUUUAUUUUUUACUCCAUUUAACCUUUAAGUGAUUUAUUGCCAUUUGUCAUCAUAUUAUCCAUUGUAUUUAGCAUUUUUUCAGUGAAAAUCAGGUUCUUUCCUAUAUUUAAUUUACAGAUCAUGUACUUUAAUUAUCAUGAUGAGACUACAUUUGAGGGUUAUUAUAUCAAAAACAGAGAAAACUGAA